rnacentral:rRNA from 1 species
CAGCCGCCGCGGGAAUACGAAGGGUGCAAGCGUUAAUCGGAAUUACUGGGCGUAAAGCGUGCGUAGGCGGUUUGUUAAGUAUGUUGUGAAAUCCCCGGGCUCAACCUGGGAAUGGCAAUGGAUACUGGCAAGCUAGAGUGUGUCAGAGGAUGGUGGAAUUCCCGGUGUAGCGGUGAAAUGCGUAGAGAUCUGGAGGAAUACCGGUGGCGAAGGCGGCCCCCUGGACAAAGACUGACGCUCAGGUGCGAAAGCGUGGGGAGCAAACAGGAUUAGAUACCCGUGUAGUCCCUGUCUCUUAUAC